AACAACAUUAGAGGUAAUCGAGUGUUUUAUUGAAUCAAAUAGAGAAACAAAGACAGAUCAAAGAGGAAGCUAUAUAGGAAAAAAACUAAAAAUCGACAAGAUAUAAUACCAGAGACUAUGUCGGUUUCUGUCUCAGUUAUCACUAUUCAUUUGUGAGUUUCAAGCCUUUCGCUAUUAGAAUUUUUCAAACUCAAAUUUCAAAAAUUAGGUUAAAAUC
rnacentral:lncRNA from 1 species